UAAGUGAACCGGGCAACCGCCCGCUGCGGCGGGAGGAAAGUCCGAGCUCCACCGGGCAGGGUGCUGGGUAACUCCCAGAAGUGGUAACCCUAUGGAAAGUGCCACAGAAACAUACCGCCCUGUGUUAUACGGGGUAAGGUUGAAAUGGUGAGGUAAGAGCUCACCAGCGGCCGGGUGACUGGUCGGCUGGGUAAACCCCACCCGGAGCAAGACCGAAUAGAGGGACAAAAGGACGCCCGGACUGUCCCCGGGUUGGUCGCUCGAUCCUGCCGGUAACGGCAGGGCUAGAUAGAUGGUUGCCGCCCCGGAUAGGGGUACAGAACUCGGCUUACAGGCUCGCUUAGCCC
rnacentral:RNase_P_RNA from 1 species